GUAAAGGUCUGAUUAAACCAAACAUGGAACCAGUCACAUGAGAAGAGUAUCCAGUACCUGCUGAAUUUCCCAUAAAAACGCGUCUGGUUACACCGGUGGCCAAGAGCCAGUGCCGUAGCUCGCCAACUUGGCAGAAACACGAGUCCUCAGCAAAAGUUUUAACGGUCAUCGGGACGAGGAUGCUAAGCUUCCUGGCAGCAUCUAGAGUUUACUUUACAAUCCAAGUCUGUCGAGAGACGUUAAGCAGGUUGUGGAAAGGGCUCGUCAGACAAUAUGGAGUCAAUCCACCGACAAUUCUACAAAGAGAAUGAGAAAUAAUGGUUGAUUACCUUCA